rnacentral:rRNA from 1 species
GACGAACGCUGGCGGCGUGCCUAAUACAUGCAAGUCGAACGCACGAAGUUGAAGAGCUUGCUCUUUAACCAAGUGAGUGGCGGACGGGUGAGUAACACGUGGGUAACCUGCCCAUUAGAGGGGGAUAACAUUCGGAAACGGAUGCUAAUACCGCAUAGUUUCAGGGAUCGCAUGAUUCUUGAAGGAAAGGUGGCUCCGGCUACCACUAAUGGAUGGACCCGCGGCGUAUUAGCUAGUUGGUGAGGUAAUGGCUCACCAAGGCAAUGAUACGUAGCCGACCUGAGAGGGUGAUCGGCCACACUGGGACUGAGACACGGCCCAGACUCCUACGGGAGGCAGCAGUAGGGAAUCUUCCGCAAUGGACGAAAGUCUGACGGAGCAACGCCGCGUGAGUGAAGAAGGUUUUCGGAUCGUAAAACUCUGUUGUUAAAGAAGAACAAGGAUGAGAGUAACUGCUCAUCCCCUGACGGUAUUUAACCAGAAAGCCACGGCUAACUACGUGCCAGCAGCCGCGGUAAUACGUAGGUGGCAAGCGUUGUCCGGAUUUAUUGGGCGUAAAGCGAGCGCAGGCGGUUCUUUAAGUCUGAUGUGAAAGCCCCCGGCUCAACCGGGGAGGGUCAUUGGAAACUGGAGAACUUGAGUGCAGAAGAGGAGAGUGGAACUCCACGUGUAGCGGUGAAAUGCGUAGAUAUGUGGAGGAACACCAGUGGCGAAGGCGACUCUCUGGUCUGUAACUGACGCUGAGGCUCGAAAGCGUGGGGAGCAAACAGG